rnacentral:rRNA from 1 species
CAAUAGCGUAUAUUAAAGUUGUUGCGGUUAAAAAGCUCGUAGUUGGAUUUCUGCUGAGAACGACCGGUCCGCCCUUUGGGUGUGUAUCUGGCUCUUUCUUGGCAUCUUCUUGGUGAACGUUGCUGCACUUGACUGUGUGGAGCGCUACCCAGGACUUUUACUUUGAGGAAAUUAGAGUGUUCACGGCAGGCAAUCGCCUUGAAUAUAUUAGCAUGGAAUAAUAACAUAGGAUCUUUGUCCUAUUUUGUUGGUUUCUAGGGCUGAGAUAAUGAUUAAUAGGGAUAAUUGGGGGCAUCUGUAUCAACGCGUCAGAGGUGGAAUUCUUGGAUUGCGUUGCGACAAACUACUGCGAAAGCAUUUGCCAAGGAUGUUUUCAUUGA